rnacentral:rRNA from 1 species
AACCGGAGGAAGGUGGGGAUGACGUCAAAUCAUCAUGCCCCUUAUGACCUGGGCUACACACGUGCUACAAUGGACAGAACAAAGGGCAGCGAAACCGCGAGGUUAAGCCAAUCCCACAAAUCUGUUCUCAGUUCGGAUCGCAGUCUGCAACUCGACUGCGUGAAGCUGGAAUCGCUAGUAAUCGCGGAUCAGCAUGCCGCGGUGAAUACGUUCCCGGGCCUUGUACACACCGCCCGUCACACCACGAGAGUUUGUAACACCCGAAGUCGGUGAGGUAACCUUUUAGGAGCCAGUCGCCGAAGGUGGGACAGAUGAUUGGGGUGAAGUCGUAACAAGGUAGCCGUAUCGGAAGGUGCGGCUGGAUCACCUCCUUUCUAAGGA